UAAGUGUCUUUUAGGUACCUGUCAGGUGU
rnacentral:piRNA from 1 species